rnacentral:lncRNA from 1 species
GCCUCAUACCGAUCAGGUUUUUUCAAAAAAUUGACUCUAUCCUCUCAAAACCUCCUCUAAACUUUUGAUCCUCCUUCUUUAGGAUCCUCACAACUUUUGUUAGGAUCAGAUAAGGCUUUGUCUUAAAUCCCAAAGCCUUGUCCUAAAACUAAGAUGGGUUGUAAGAAAGAAAAGAGAGCAACGGAGAUAAAAUUGGAAACUC